UAAUAAUGGUUUAUUGGUUUAAUUCGGUUUACAAAAUAAAAUGAAUUAACCAAAUAUAUAUUUGUUUUAUAAAUUUAAUCAGUUUACAAUAAAACAGAUUUACAAAACUAAACCAAAUCUAGUUAACAAUAAAAUUUAAUUAAAAAAUAUAACCUAACCCUAAACCUAACUAAUGUCACUGCCGCCGCCUCCCUCCACCGAGAGUACAUCACGAGAGCUCCAGCACACCGGAGCUUGAACCUUCUCCACGCCGCCAUCGUGGUCGUCUCGCUGAAGCUCCGUCUCAUCCAUCUUCUUCGAGAUCUACCGCCGAAGCGACCAAACUCGUCGCCUUCCCCUCUUCUUCUUCUACCUAUUCCUCGGACCUAUGCACCACCACCAAACAUCAUCUUCUCCGUCUCAUCUACCUUUGUUUACCAGAAAAAAAAAAUAAAAACGAAAUCAAAACAGAGAGAGAGACAGACACAGAAAGAGAGAGAGAAGGGAGAUAGAGAGAUACUCCGGCGCGUCUUCUUCUCCGGUGAGCUUCGGCGCUUCGUCCCAGCGAGUCUCUGUCUUCGUCGUCUACAUUAUCAUCUCCAUCCUUUCUCAGUUGACCAUAUCUGAAAAGUGAGACAUGAGAGACACUACAAGAAAACAGCAAGGAUACUGAGGGAAAAAAUCAUCGGAAUUUCAUCGGAAUAACGUUAUUCCGACGACAUACCGACGAAACAAGUCCUCGGAAAUAAUUCCUCGGAAUUUCUUCUUUCCUCGGAAAUCCCUCGGAAUUUUCCGACGGAAUUCCGAGGAAACAAAUUUCCGAGGAAAUUCCGAGGAUCACUAGUUUGUCGGAAAUCUCCUCGGAAUAUACCGAGGGAGAACUUCGUCGGGAUAUUUCCUCGGAAGUUCAUCGAUCGAUGCGUUUUUGGACAUAUAUCCAUCGAUCGAUGGAUAUAUGUCCGAAAACGCAUCGAUCGAUCACUAAGAUGGACCAAAGCGUAACAAUGUGAUCGAUCGAUUAGAUUAUCCCAUCAAUGGAUCGAAUAAAAUCUCGGGAGCCUUUUUUUAAACGCAUCGAUCGAUCCGUAUUUGUACAAAAACGCAUCGAUCGAUGCGUGUGCGGGAAACAGAAUUAUAAGGCAAAACCCGAACUUUUUGGAUCAAAACCUCAGAACUCUCAUCCCCUAUGAUUUCCCCUAUAAUUCGACCCCCCCCCUUUCUAUCUCUCUAUAAUCAUCCGAUUUGAACAAUUUUGGGCUCUAUUCCNNNNNNNNNNNNNNNNNNNNGUUGGUAUUCUUCCGUAAGCAAUCUCGUGUUCGGAUCCAAAUGAGGUCGAUCGAUCCAAGAACGAAAAUAAUUUGAAGAAGACAUAUUUUUUAUGAAUCAAAUUCGUGUGUAAAUAGAGUAAGAGGGAGGAUGAAGAUAUGGAGUGAUGAAGAGGAAGAGGACUGCUUGUAUUUAUAGUUUAAAUCCUGCCGACAGACCGAGAAAAUUCCGACGGAAUUCCGACGCCAACGGCUAGUUCGUCGGAAUUUCCUCGGAAUUUUGUAAAAUCCUCCAACGGCUCUCCAACGGCUAUAAUAUUUCCUCGGAAUUCAUCGGUUUUUUCCGAGGAACACAUUUUUCCUCGGAAUUUUCUCGGAAUAUUCCGACGGAUUGAUAUUUCCUCGGAAUUCCGUCGGUAUAUUCCGAGGAAACCAAAUUUUGUGUUAUUUCCUCGGAAAUUCCUCGGAAUAUUCCGAAGAUUUCAUUUUCUGUCGGAAUGUCCGUCAGAAUACCGCUGUUUUCUUGUAGUGAGAGUUGGUGA
rnacentral:lncRNA from 1 species